CUUUUCUACUCCGUUGUAUCCUCUCUCACUCAUGCUCCAAUGUACAAAGCCAUUUCAAUCAAUUUUUUUUCUUUUUAGAUGAAUUCUUGUUGAACUCAGAGGAGCCGGAACUAAUAAGUCAACUGUUAAUCUACAGUAAUUUGUUCGUUACGAGUCAGUCAGAAUCAGAUGUAGGGUCGUACAAUUCCCGGUCUCUCUCAAGGAUUGCGUGAUUAGCCUUCCUUUCAACUUUGUUGUUGUUCUUCUUCUUCUUACUUAAUGCGCUCUGACGUCUAAGUCUAACGGCUGGUUAUAAACUCAUUCGUUUUUAGCAUCUUUCUCUCUGCCUCUCUUUCUCACACACAAACACACACACACCUGGUGCAGGGGGAACUCGACUCUUCUUUAAUUAAGAGAAGAGCGUUGAAGCAAUUAGCGAAGGCUGUUGUUGAUGAUGACGAACGACGACGACUGGGGGCUUGGAGAAGUUGGUGCGGAAUUUGAAGUCCAAACUCCUCAAGUCUCUGAGGAUGAGGAAAGCGUACGACAAAAUUGAGAAGAGUGAAAGCAUGAGAGUGGAAAUAAGGAGCAGGAAGGCUCGAAAGCUCAUCGCACGAACUCUGAGAAUCGCUGAUUCUCCCCACACCCGAACCUAUGCUUUCUGAAUUCAGCUCUGAAUCUGAAAUAUUAUGCAGUGUAUGUAUGCGCUCUCUUUUUGGCAGACCGUCUGAUUCCCAGUAUGAUUUAUGAGUGAGAGCCUUUUACUGUCUUCUUCUUC